UACGUAGGGGGCAAGCGUUGUCCGGAUUUAUUGGGCGUAAAGAGCGUGUAGGCGGCCAGAUAGGUCCGUUGUGAAAACUCGAGGCUCAACCUCGAGACGCCGAUGGAAACCAUCUGGCUAGAGUCCGGAAGAGGAGAGUGGAAUUCCUGGUCUAGCGGUGAAAUGCGCAGAUAUCAGGAAGAACACCCGUGGCUAAGGCGGCUCUCUAGUACGGUACUGACGCUGAGACGCGAAAGCGUGGGGAGCGAACAGG
rnacentral:rRNA from 1 species